rnacentral:rRNA from 1 species
UACGAAGGGGGCUAGAGUUGGUCGGAAUCACUGGGCGUAAAGCGCACGUAGGCGGAUUUGUUAGUCAGGUGUGAAAUCCCGGGGCUCAACCUCGGAACUGCCUUUGAUACUGCAAAUCUCGAGUCCGAUAGAGGUGAGUGGAAUUCCUAGUGUAGAGGUGAAAUUCGUAGAGAUUAGGAAGAACACCAGUGGCGAAGGCGGCUCACUGGAUCGGUACUGACGAUGAGGUGCGAAAGAGUGGGGAGCAAACAGG